rnacentral:misc_RNA from 1 species
GAUGAAGAACGCAGCGAAAUGCGAUAGGUAAUGUGAAUUGCAGAAUUCAGUGAAUCAUCGAGUCUUUGAACGCACAUUGCGCCCCCUGGUAUUCCGGGGGGCAUGCCUGUCCGAGCGUCAUUGCUGCCCUCAAGCACGGCUUGUGUGUUGGGCCUCCGUCCUCCUCCCGGGGGACGGGCCCGAAAGGCAGCGGCGGCACCGCGCCCGGUCCUCGAGCGUAUGGGGCUUCGUCACCCGCUCUUGUAGGCCCGGCCGGCGCUUGCCGACACAUCAAUCUUUUUUCCAGGUUGACCUCGGAUCAGGUAGGGAUACCCGCUGAACUUAAGCAUAUCAAUAAGCGGAGGA